UAGGGAAUCUUCCACAAUGGACGAAAGUCUGAUGGAGCAACGCCGCGUGAGUGAAGAAGGGUUUCGGCUCGUAAAACUCUGUUGUUAAAGAAGAACAUAUCUGAGAGUAACUGUUCAGGUAUUGACGGUAUUUAACCAGAAAGCCACGGCUAACACGUGCCAG
rnacentral:rRNA from 1 species